UACGGGGGGAGCAAGCGUUGUUCGGAUUUACUGGGCGUAAAGGGCGCGUAGGCGGUCAGCACAAGUCAGUUGUGAAAUCUCCGGGCUUAACUCGGAAAGGUCAACUGAUACUGUGCGACUAGAGUGCGGAAGGGGCAACUGGAAUUCUCGGUGUAGCGGUGAAAUGCGUAGAUAUCGAGAGGAACACCUGCGGCGAAGGCGGGUUGCUGGGCCGACAUUGACGCUGAGGAGCGAAAGCGUGGGGAGCGAACAGG
rnacentral:rRNA from 1 species